rnacentral:tRNA from 1 species
GGAGGCAUGGCUCAAGUGGUAGAGCACCCACCUCCCAAGUACAAGGCCUUGAGUUCAAAUCCCAAUAACACUA